rnacentral:rRNA from 1 species
UUGUGUGGGGUGGUGGCGUGCCUUUUGAAGAAUGAGCCUGCGAGUUAGUGUUUUGUCGCGAGGUUAACCCGUGUGGGGUAGUCGUAGCGAAAGCGAGUCUGAAUAGGGCGUUGUAGUGGCAGGAUCUAGACCCGAAGCGGAGUGAUCUAUCCAUGGCCAGGUUGAAGCACGUGUAAGAGCGUGUGGAGGACCGAACCCACCUAGGUUGAAAACUGGGGGGAUGAGCUGUGGAUAGGGGUGAAAGGCCAAUCAAACUCUGUGAUAGCUGGUUCUCCCCGAAAUGCAUUUAGGUGCAGCGUUACAUGUUUCUUGCUGGAGGUAGAGCUACUGGAUGGCCGAUGGGCCCGCGAGGGUUACUGACGUUAGCUAAACUCCGAAUGCCGGUAAGUGAGAGUGUAGCAGUGAGACAGUGGGGGAUAAGCUUCAUUGUCGAGAGGGAAACAGCCCAGACCAUCAACUAAGGCCCCUAAGCGUGUGCUAAGUGGGAAAGGAUGUGGAGUUGCUGAGACAACCAGGAGGUUGGCUUAGAAGCAGCCAUCCUUGAAAGAGUGCGUAAUAGCUCACUGGUCAAGUGAUUCUGCGCCGAUAAUGUAGCGGGGCUCAAGUACACCGCCGAAGUUGUGGCAAUCAGUCUUUGUGGCUGGUUGGGUAGGGGAGCGUCCUGCACGAGGUGAAGCUGCCACGGGAGUGUGUGGUGGAUUGUGUGGGAGUGAGAAUGCAGGCAUGAGUAGCGAAUCACGGGUGAGAAACCCGUGCGCCGGAUGAUCAAGGGUUCCAGGGUCAAGUUAAUCUGCCCUGGGUUAGUCGGGGCCUAAGGCGAGGCCGACAGGCGUAGUCGAUGGAGAACGGGUUGAUAUUCCCGUACCAGUGAAGGACCGUCCAUACUGAUAUUGUGAUGCUAACCAUGCCGAUCACGGUGUCAUGAAGUUUUUCUUUGUGGUGUUGUGGGGUGUGUGGGACCCAAGCUUUGGAGGUAAGCGUGUUAACAGGUGUGACGCAGGAAGGUAGCCAAGCCACGCGGUGGUUGUCGUGGUCUAAGCGUGUAGGAUGACUGGUUGUUAAAUGCGCCGGUUGUGUGUCUGAGACGUGAUGGGACCCCUUGUUUGUGGGGGAUUUGGUGAUCCUAUGCUGCCGAGAAAAGCAUCGGCGUGAGGUUUUAGCUGCCCGUACCCGAAACCGACACAGGUGAUCAGGUAGAGAAUACUAAGGCGAUCGAGAGAAUCAUGGUUAAGGAACUCGGCAAAAUGCCCCCGUAACUUCGGGAGAAGGGGGGCCCUGAGCGUGAUCUGCCCGUGCGGUGGGGAGCGUGUAGGGGUCGCAGAGACCAGGGGGAAGCGACUGUUUAUCAAAAACACAGGUCCGUGCGAAGUCGUAAGACGAGGUAUACGGACUGACUCCUGCCCGGUGCUGGAAGGUUAAGAGGAUUGGUUAGCCCUGUGUGGGCGAAGCUGAGAAUUUAAGCCCCAGUAAACGGCGGUGGUAACUAUAACCAUCCUAAGGUAGCGAAAUUCCUUGUCGGGUAAGUUCCGACCUGCACGAAUGGAGUAACGACUUCCCUACUGUCUCAACCAUGAACUCGGUGAAAUUGCAGUACGAGUAAAGAUGCUCGUUUCGCGCAGCAGGACGGAAAGACCCCGUGACCUUUACUAUAGUUUGGUAUUGGUGUUUGGGUUGGCUUGUGUAGGAUAGGUGGGAGACUGUGAAGCCGUCACGCUAGUGGUGGUGGAGUCGUUGUUGAAAUACCACUCUGGUCAAUCUGGAUGUCUAACUUCGGGCCAUGAUCUGGUUCAGGGACAGUGCCUGAUGGGUAGUUUAACUGGGGCGGUUGCCUCCUAAAGUGUAACGGAGGCGCCCAAAGGUUCCCUCAGCCUGGUUGGCAAUCAGGUGUUGAGUGUAAGUGCACAAGGGAGCUUGACUGUGAGAGUGGCGACUCGAGCAGGGACGAAAGUCGGGACUAGUGAUCCGGCAGUGGCUUGUGGAAGCGCUGUCGCUCAACGGAUAAAAGGUACCUCGGGGAUAACAGGCUGAUCUUGCCCAAGAGUCCAUAUCGACGGCAUGGUUUGGCACCUCGAUGUCGGCUCGUCGC